rnacentral:rRNA from 1 species
GAAUAUUGGACAAUGGGGGGAACCCUGAUCCAGCAAUGCCGCGUGGGUGAAGAAGGCCUUUUGGUUGUAAAGCACUUUAAGCGAGGAGGGGGCUACUCUAGUUAAUACCUAGAGAUAGUGGACGUGCCUCGCAGAAUCAGCACUGGCUACCUCUGUGCCAGCAGCCGCGGUAAUACAGAGGGUGCAAGCGUUAAUCGGAUUUACUGGGCGUAAAGCGCGCGUAGGUGGCCAAUUAAGUCAAACGUGAAAUCCCCGAGCUUAACUUGGGAAUUGCAUUCGAUACUGGUUGGCUAGAGUAUGGGAGAGGAUGGUAGAAUUCCAGGUGUAGCGGUGAAAUGCGUAGAGAUCUGGAGGAAUACCGAUGGCGAAGGCAGCCAUCUGGCCUAAUACUGACACUGAGGUGCGAAAGCAUGGGGAGCAAACA